GACGAACGCUGGCGGCGUGCUUAACACAUGCAAGUCGUACGGUAAGGCCCUUUCGGGGGUCCACGAGUGGCGAACGGGUGAGUAACACAUGAGUAACCUGCCCACAACUUUGGGAUAACGCUAGGAAACUGGUGCUAAUACUGGAUAUGUGCCCCUGCUGCAUGGUGGGGGUUGGAAAGCUCCGGCGGUUGUGGAUGGACUCGCGGCCUAUCAGCGUGUUGGUGGGGUAGUGGCCUACCAAGGCGGCGACCGGGAGCCGGCCUGAGAGGGUGACCGGCCACAGUGGGACUGAGAGACGGCCCAGACGCCUACGGGAGGGAGAAGUGGGGAAUAUUGCACAAGGGGCGCAAGACUGAUGCAGCAACGCCGCGUGCGGGAUGACGGGCUUCGGGUUGUAAACCGCUUUCAGCAGGGACGAAGCUUUUUGUGACGGUACCUGCAGAAGAAGCACCGGCUAACUACGUG
rnacentral:rRNA from 1 species